UACGUAGGGUGCGAGCGUUGUCCGGAAUUACUGGGCGUAAAGGGCUCGUAGGCGGCCAACUAAGUCGGAUGUGAAAUCCCCAAGCUUAACUUGGGAACUGCAUCCGAUACUGGAUGGCUUGAAUCCGGGAGAGGGAUGCAGAAUUCCAGGUGUAGCGGUGAAAUGCGUAGAUAUCUGGAGGAAUACCGGUGGCGAAGGCGGCAUCCUGGACCGGCAUUGACGCUGAGGAGCGAAAGCCAGGGGAGCAAACGGG
rnacentral:rRNA from 1 species